rnacentral:rRNA from 1 species
UGGGGAAUCUUGCGCAAUGGGCGAAAGCCUGACGCAGCGACGCCGCGUGAGUGAUGAAGGCCCUCGGGUUGUAAAGCUCUGUGGAGGGGACGAAUAAGCAUUGGUUAAUAUCCAGUGUGAUGACGGUACCCUUUUAGCAAGCACCGGCUAACUCUGUG